rnacentral:tRNA from 1 species
GGAGAGGUGCCGGAGCGGCUGAUCGGGGCGGUCUCGAAAACCGCUGCAGCUCGUAAGGGCUGCCGAGGGUUCGAAUCCCUCCCUCUCCG